UACGUAGGUGGCAAGCGUUGUCCGGAAUUAUUGGGCGUAAAGCGCGCGCAGGCGGUCCUUUAAGUCUGAUGUGAAAGCCCACGGCUCAACCGUGGAGGGUCAUUGGAAACUGGGGGACUUGAGUGCAGAAGAGGAAAGCGGAAUUCCACGUGUAGCGGUGAAAUGCGUAGAGAUCGGGAGGAACACCUGUGGCGAAGGCGGCCGGCUGGGGGUGCCCUGACGCUGAGGCGCGAAAGCGUGGGGAGCGAACCGG
rnacentral:rRNA from 1 species